UCCACAAGUGCUGAGUGGGCAUUAGCGCCUUCAUGUGACCUAUGGCCUGCCUCUGUGCCUAAAGCCCAAAUCCUGCUCACAAUAGCUUCCUGUUCCACUUGGAUCACCCUCGUUUUCAAACAUCAGCAAGCGACCCAGCUAGCCACUGGGGACGUUGCUGACACAAGAGAGACGAGGGACAGGCAAGAGAGGGGUACAGACUGCUGCAAGUGAGAGGUAGGAGAGGAGAAAGGAUAUAGAAAGUGGGGGUGAAAUACGAGAACGAGAUGGUGGCGAAGGAGAUAGGCUGAAAGAGAAGUGGGAGGAGAGAAGUGAAAAUGUGUAGUAUGUCAGCAGGGCAAUUCCGCUUAUAGGUGCACCCCUGCUCCCAGGACACAACACAUGAUCAUCAUACAAGACAAGGUGCACACAGAGGCACCUUAUACUACGGACUCUGUAUCAAGGAGAAAACUCUUCCUUUCUUCGCUGCCGGUUUUAUCCAGCCCCUUAAUCUACCUCCUCAACAUUUUUUUUUUGGAAAGAGAAAAAGACCACCGUAUAGCUGCCAUUUAAAAAAGGGAGCUGAAUAACUUCCCCCUUAUCACCCUGGUUUCUCCCAGUUGUUUGGAGGACAGCGGGGGUCACUGGGACAGUCGACUAUGGUAUGGACUGCGAAACUUCUGUUAUGUUCAGGGGCGGGGGGACUAGCUGUUCAGCCUUACAUGGCAACCGAACGAAAGCCUUGAGUGUUGAACUGAAUUUACACUCAAAGUCACCUUACAGUGCAGACUACCAUACUUGGGAGAGAGAACGGUGAGGAAAAAUAUUCUGCUCUUAACUUCCUGACCUUGGCAAAAGAUAAAACUUCCCACGUUCGUCUCUGAAACAGCGAUUCCACAAUGCUUUGCUAAAGCUGGUAAAAUGGAACCAAAUCACCUCUUAAAUGGAUUUGGUCCCCUUCAACCAGCUGUAGCUAUGCUUUGAUGACUACAAGAGCUCCUUUCUGUGAUGCCUUCAACACAAUCACUGCAACGGGCCACUUCUUGACGAUGACUGGCUUAUGGCCUUCUUCUAUCAACAACAUCUGGAGUGUUCACUGAUUGUCAUGUUUAAUGCAAAAUGUCUCAUUUUUGACUAAUAAAGAAAGCAAUCCCAGCUUCA